rnacentral:ncRNA from 1 species
CAUUGGGGAGCUUGGUGAAACGCCCGGCUGAGAGGAAACACAGUUUCGACCCGUAACCUGAUCCGGAUAAUGCCGGCGUAGGGAAUGAGU